rnacentral:lncRNA from 1 species
UGGAAGAGUUGUUCUAAUGCUCUCUGGUAUCCUCUCUGCUGCCCUAACCUCCAUGUCAUGUGUAGGUUUCCCAGGUACUCCAGGCCCCCCCGGAGCUCCGGGAACUCCAGGUCGCCCUGGUCUAGAUGGACCUCCUGGACCACCUGGUUUCCCAGGACAGAAGGGGGAUCGUGGAUUUGGAGUUCCAGGACCACCUGGACCCCCAGGACUACCAGGCUUAAAAGGAGUUCAAGGGCCCAAAGGCGAUACUGGCUUCCCCGGAAACCCUGGUCUCCCAGGACGAGCAGGUUUUGAUGGAGCUCCGGGGCCCAAAGGUGACCCUGGACCAAGCGGACCACCCGGACUCCCAGGCCCACCAGGCAUCCCCGGCAUUGGUGGCCAAGGUGCACCUGGACCUCCUGGACCUCCCGGUCCUGUUGGCCCACCAGGGCUGCAGGGCAUUCCAGGAGAGAAAGGGGAUCCAGGUCCUCCAGGCUUCGACGUUCCUGGUCCUCCAGGUGACCAAGGAACUCCAGGAUAUCCAGGACCACCUGGUCUCCCAGGGCCUCAGGGUUCGCCUGGACCACCAGGCCGGGAUGGGAUACCUGGUUUUCCAGGUGCCAAAGGUGAGAUGGGUGUCAUGGGAGCCCCUGGUCCACCGGGGCCUACAGGAACUCCCGGAAGAAAUGGUCUUCCUGGCUUGAAAGGCAAUAAUGGAUUACCUGGUCAGCCAGGACCUCCUGGACCAGUAGGACAGAAAGGUGUCAAAGGUGAAGCAGGCCUGCCAGGCCCACCUGGGAAAGUUGAUCCAAAACAGCUGGGAGCGAAAGGAGAAAAAGGCGAACCAGGUGUUCCAGGUAUUCCUGGCUUAUCAGGACAGAAAGGUUAUCAAGGUCUCCCAGGUGACCCCGGCCCACCAGGACUUAGUGGCCCACCAGGUCCACCAGGAUUGCCAGGCAUCAAGGGAGACACAGGACUUCCUGGACAGCCAGGACCAACAGGACCUCCAGGGUUAAAAGGUGCCAUGGGAGAGAUGGGCCUUCCAGGUCCCCCAGGGAUUAAAGGCAGUCAGGGAGUAGCAGGACGUCCAGGCCCGCCGGGGCCUGCUGGAUUUCCUGGAUCGAAGGGGGAGAAAGGUGACCCUGGUCUUUCAGACAUCGGUAUUCCUGGUCCCCCUGGACCAAAGGUACGCUCAAAAAAUUCUUCAAUGGAACAAUCACAUGAGAAAAGGAAAUUUCAUGUUGAUUUUUUAAAUUCUAAUUUUAUAUAUAUGCACACACACACACACACACGUGUGUGUGUGUGUGUGCAUUUGGAAAAAUUCUACUUUUAA